AACCGCGGUCCGUUUUCAACGCCCUCGCAGGAAACCGCGUUGGCCUAUUGAAAGAUACUCCACCCGCCGCCUAGAAAAACACGGACGCCUCCCUCUCGAUGCGAAAACCAAUGAGAUCUUUUGCUCUUUCCAGUUUUCAAAGACGUUGGACACCGAGAACUAUUCAAUCAACACCUUUCAAUUUCACCUACUCGCACCAACGAAGCAUGUUGUUGUGUUCCCUACAUCAGUUGUCUACUGGACCACCAUGGUCAGACCAUGACUGAUGAACAGAGAAGGCGAGUCUCUAUCAGUCCAAAGGUGCCUUGGAUAGCUGCGCUAGUCUGGUUCACAUGCAGUUCAAUCAUCGAUGACAUUGUCACUCGUUAAUAAGGAAGAAAAUAAGCUGUAAGAUCUUAAAAAAUAACAGUACUCUCCUAUUAUUUUGUGAU